UACGGUCGGGCAUGGGUGAA
rnacentral:miRNA from 1 species